GCAGGCACAGCGAUAUGCACCUUUAGCCCCAGCUACUCGAGAGGCUGAGGCAGGAGGAUUGCUUGAGACCAGGAGUUCUGGGCUGCAGUGUGCUGUGCUGUCCAGGUAUCUACACCAAGUUCAGCAUCUAUAUGGUGACCUCCCAGGAGUGGGGGGAUCCCCAGGUUGCCUAAGAAGGUGUGAACUGGGCCAGGUCAGAAAGAGAGCAGCUAAAAACUCCCAAACUGAUUGAUCAGUAGUGGGAUCGUGCCUGUGAAUAGCCACUGCACUCCUGCCUAGGCAACAGAGACCCUGUCUCU
rnacentral:SRP_RNA from 1 species